rnacentral:rRNA from 1 species
UACGUAGGGUGCAAGCGUUAAUCGGAAUUACUGGGCGUAAAGGGCGCGUAGGCGGCGCAACAAGUCACUUGUGAAAUCUCCGGGCUUAACCCGGAGCGGUCAAGUGAUACUGUCGUGCUAGAGUGCGGAAGGGGCUACUGGAAUUCUCGGUGUAGCGGUGAAAUGCGUAGAUAUCGCUUGGAACGCCAACGGUGAAAACAGGUUGCUGGGGGUGUGGCUGACGCUGAGACACGAAAGCCAGGGGAGCCGGAACGGGAU